rnacentral:rRNA from 1 species
GACGAACGCUGGCGGCGUGCUUAACACAUGCAAGUCGAACGCUGAAGCACCAGCUUGCUGGUGUGGAUGAGUGGCGAACGGGUGAGUAAUACGUGAGUAACCUGCCCUUGACUCUGGGAUAAGCCCGGGAAACUGGGUCUAAUACUGGAUGCUACAUGUCACCGCAUGGUGGUGUGUGGAAAGGGUUUACUGGUCUUGGAUGGGCUCACGGCCUAUCAGCUUGUUGGUGAGGUAAUGGCUCACCAAGGCGACGACGGGUAGCCGGCCUGAGAGGGUGACCGGCCACACUGGGACUGAGACACGGCCCAGACUCCUACGGGAGGCAGCAGUGGGGAAUAUUGCACAAUGGGCGAAAGCCUGAUGCAGCGACGCCGCGUGAGGGAUGACGGCCUUCGGGUUGUAAACCUCUUACAGCAGGGAAGAAGCCACAAGUGACGGUACCUGCAGAAGAAGCGCCGGCUAACUACGUG